rnacentral:lncRNA from 1 species
AAAAAGGAGAAGAAGCAUGAAUUAAAACAUCACCAAUUGGUUCAACAAUUCAGUUUACUUCUGUUGGCAAGAAAGGAUGUUGGCUGAUGACCUAAACACUGCUUUGUUUGAUCCUCAGCAUAUAUGGAUUAAUGAUGGGCAUAGAUGUGUGAGAAUGAUUUCAUUAUUGAAACUAUUACUAAGGGGAGGAAUUGAGGAGGUGAAAAUGGGAAGAUACUGA